GACGAAGGGGGCUAGCGUUGUUCGGAAUUACUGGGCGUAAAGCGCGUGUAGGCGGUUGUCCAAGUCGGGGGUGAAAGCCUUGAGCUCAACUCAAGAAAUGCACUCGAUACUGGGCGACUCGAGUGCCGGAGAGGAUAGUGGAAUUCCCAGUGUAGUGGUGAAAUACGUAGAGAUUGGGAAGAACACCAGUGGCGAAGGCGGCUAUCUGGACGGUUACUGACGCUAAGACGCGAAAGCGUGGGGAGCAAACAGG
rnacentral:rRNA from 1 species